CUUCUCGUUUGGAGAGGCCGACAUUGACAGCACAGUGAAAACAGCAAAGAAGAAAGGGUCCAGCAACUUGUCUACUGAUCUGAACGGCAAGACCAUGCCCAAGAAGGAUUCAGCGUCUGCAGAGAAACAGCCUCCGAACCGUGCGAGGCCGAAAGGAAUGAGUGGCAGCAGCAAUUUUGCAGACGGGAAGGCCUCAACCUCAACAACCGGAGAUCAUGAAGGCCGUCGUACCCGGCAGCCUCCUGGCGGCGACAGCAGCAUUUUGCUGGGCUAGCGU
rnacentral:lncRNA from 1 species